ensembl:snoRNA
UCUAUCUAUGGAAUCAUGUCAUUCAUGUCAUAGAUGAUGAAUAUAUGUCUGGAACUCUGAGGUCCAA